rnacentral:rRNA from 1 species
GAUGAACGCUGGCGGCGUGCCUAAUACAUGCAAGUCGAGCGAACAGAUAAGGAGCUUGCUCCUUUGACGUUAGCGGCGGACGGGUGAGUAACACGUGGAUAACCUACCUAUAAGACUGGGAUAACUUCGGGAAACCGGAGCUAAUACCGGAUAACAUAUUGAACCGCAUGGUUCAAUAGUGAAAGGCGGCUUUGCUGUCACUUAUAGAUGGAUCCGCGCCGUAUUAGCUAGUUGGUAAGGUAACGGCUUACCAAGGCAACGAUGCGUAGCCGACCUGAGAGGGUGAACGGCCACACUGGAACUGAGACACGGUCCAGACUCCUACGGGAGGCAGCAGUAGAGAAUCUUCCGCAAUGGGCGAAAGCCUGACGGAGCAACGCCGCGUGAGUGAUGAAGGUCUUCGGAUCGUAAAACUCUGUUAUCAGGGAAGAACAAAUGUGUAAGUAACUGUGCACAGCUUGACGGUACCUGAUCAGAAAGCCACGGCUAACUACGUG